ACCCUCGCCUAUUUCAACCUACCAACAUGAUGUCACCGAAUGUGGAGUUGGAAACAGACAUGUACAAUUUGUUCUUUCAAGCCUAUAUAUAUCUCCUAGGUGGUGCCCAGUGCUUCUGGCCCAAGGACCCCACUUUGAAGAAAAAGUCUCUGGUACAGUGAUUCUCAACCUUGGCUGCAUGUGAGAACUACCUGCAGGAGUUUCUGAAAGUCAGGAAGGAGAAAGGAAGAAAACAGGUUCCUGUCAACUCCAAUCCACAUAUUCAACAAAUCUUUGAAGACACAAUGGCAAAAUGUGACUCGUCCUUUGAAACCACCCUCCAAUAUCUCCUCCUCAAAUGAACCUUCCUGUUAUGCGAUCUGAAAAAUCCAUCCUUCGUGGCUCAAGAAGAGAUAUCCAUGGUAAUUAUGUAGGAAUUCUGUCCUCUCCUGCCCCUGAGAUGUUAAGGCUAUCCUGGCCCUCAAGAACUCACAGGAAUUGUAUCAUUCCAGCCUUUCCACUUGCCCAAGUGAUAUUGGGCUAAUAUGAGCUUCAGUUUCUUUAUCAAUAAAAUAUGAUGAUAAUUUCUAUCUCA
rnacentral:lncRNA from 1 species